rnacentral:rRNA from 1 species
ACGAGGGGCCCGAGCGUUAAUCGGAAUUACUGGGCGUAAAGCGUGCGCAGGCAGAUUGUUAAGCAAGACGUGAAAUCCCCGGGCUUAACCUGGGAAUGGCGUUUUGAACUGGCAGUCUAGAGUGCGUCAGAGGGGGGUGGAAUUCCACGUGUAGCAGUGAAAUGCGUAGAGAUCCGGAGGAACACCAGAGGCGAAGGCGACACCCUGGGCCGUACCUGACGCUAAGACGCGACAGCACGGGGAGCGAACGG